UAAGAAGAGAGAAUGCCGGAAUGAGUAGCGAGAGGAAGGUGGGAAUCCUUCCGGCCGAAUAUCUAAGGUUUCCAGAGUAAAGCUGAUCUGCUCUGGGUAAGUCGGGGCCUAAGGAGAGGUCGAAAGACGUAUCCGAUGGACAACAGGUUUAGAUUCCUGUACCACAUAUAAACAGAACUGUGGGGACGCAUGUGGAAAGCAUAAGCCGGGAAUGGAAAUACCGGUACAAACGGAAGAGGUGUCAGGCUGGCAAAUCCGCCUGGCAAGCCAAAGACGUGAUGUGGAGCGAAAUAAAAGUAGCGAAGUAUGUGAGCCAUGUGCCGAGAAAAGCCGCUAUUGUUUUAUAUGUGCCCGUACCGUAAACCGACACAGGUGGAUGAGGAGAGAAUCCUAAGGCCGACGGAAGAAGCAUUGUUAAGGAACUCGGCAAAAUGACCCCGUAACUUCGGGAUAAGGGGUGCCCACUUCAGGGUGGGCCGCAGAGAAUAGGCUCAAGCAACUGUUUAGCAAAAACACAGGUCUAUGCGAAACCGUAAGGUGAAGUAUAUGGGCUGACGCCUGCCCGGUGCUGGAAGGUUAAGAGGAGAGGUUAGUCGCAAGAUGAAGCUUUGAAUUUAAGCCCCAGUAAACGGCGGCCGUAACGAUAACGGUCCUAAGGUAGCGAAAUUCCUUGUCGGGUAAGUUCCGACCCGCACGAAAGGCGUAAUGAUUUGAGCACUGUCUCGACAAUGCAUCCGGUGAAAUUGAAGUACCAGUGAAGAUGCUGGUUACCCGCGCCAGGACGGAAAGACCCCAUGGAGCUUUACUCCAGUUUGGUACUGGGAUUCGGUACUGCAUGUACAGGAUAGGUGGGAGACUGAGAAAUUGGAACGCCAGUUUCAAUGGAGUCACUGUUGGGAUACCACCCCUGCAGUAUUGGGUUUCCAACCAGCCGCUGUGAUCCAGCGGUGGGACAAUGCCAGGCGGGGAGUUUGACUGGGGCGGUCGCCUCCGAAAGGGUAUCGGAGGCGCUCAAAGGUUCCCUCAGAAUGGUCGGAAACCAUUUUAAGAGUGCAAAGGCAGAAGGGAGCUUGACUGCGACACCGACGGGUGGAGCAGGUACGAAAGUAGGACUUAGUGAUCCGGUGGCAUAAAGUGGGAUUGCCAUCGCUCAACGGAUAAAAGCUACCCUGGGAUAACAGGCUUAUCACUCCCAAGAGUUCACAUCGACGGAGUGGUUUGGCACCUCGAUGUCGGCUCAUCGCAUCCUGGGGCUGUAGCAGGUCCCAAGGGUUGGGCUGUUCGCCCAUUAAAGCGGUACGCGAGCUGGGUUCAGAACGUCGUGAGACAGUUCGGUCCCUAUCCGGCGCGGGCGGAGGAUAUUUGAGAGGAGCUGUCCUUAGUACGAGAGGACCGGGAUGGACGGACCACUGGUGUAUCUGCUGUCGACCAACGGCAUGGCAGAGUAGCCAAGUCCGGAAGGGAUAAACGCUGAAGGCAUCUAAGCGUGAAGCCCCCCUCAAGAUGAGAUAUCCCUCACAUAAGUGAGUAAGAUCCCUUGAAGAGUACAAGGUAGAUAGGGCAGAGGUGGAAGCAUGGUAACAUGUGGAGCUGACUGUUACUAAUCGAUCGAGGGCUUGACCG
rnacentral:rRNA from 1 species